rnacentral:SRP_RNA from 1 species
GCCAGGCACUGUGGUGGGUGCCUGUAGUCCCAGCUACUUGGAGGCUGAGGCAAGAGAAUCACUUAAGCCCAAGAGUCUGAGGUUGCUGUGAGCUCUGAUGCCAAGGUACUCUACCAAGGGUGACAUAAUGAAACUCUGUCUCAAAAAAAAAAAAAAAAAAGAGUCUCUGAUGCAUGGAGAUUAAAACUGUCUAUAAAUACAAGUUUCUUUUUUUUUUUUUGAGACACAGUCUCACUAUGUCACCCUCAGUAGAAUGCUGUGGCGUCACAGCUCACAGCAACCUCCAACUCUUGGGCUUAAGAGAUUCUCUUGCCUCAG